rnacentral:rRNA from 1 species
UACGUAGGGGGCUAGCGUUGUCCGGAAUCAUUGGGCGUAAAGAGCGUGUAGGCGGUCCGGUAAGUCCGCUGUGAAAGUCGGGGGCUCAACCCUCGAAUGCCGGUGGAUACUGUCGGGCUAGAGUGCGGAAGAGGCGAGUGGAAUUCCUGGUGUAGCGGUGGAAUGCGCAGAUAUCAGGAGGAACACCAACGGCGAAGGCAGCUCGCUGGGACGGUACUGACGCUGAGACGCGAAAGCGUGGGGAGCAAACAGG